UCCAUCAAUUGGGUCAAUAUCAUUUUCACAGGUCAAUGCAAACUAUAAUCCACAUUAAAACAGAAACUAAGCAUCCAACAAUUCCAUAAGACAUGAUAAACUAUCGCAUAACAUCAAUAUCCCUUAAGAUUAUAAAAUGUAACAAAACAAAACCAACAAUAUCUGAUGUAUACAAACAACUGCAAAAUGGGUAAAACAAUAAGACUCAAAAACUAAGCAGUAAGAACAACAGCACCACCAACUUCCUUGAUCUUCGUCUCAGCGAUCUUGUAGACAAGCUUGGCCUUAACAACAAGAGGCUUGUUGGAAGGAACACACCCUUGCCACCACUCACAGCAAAAAACUGAUUCUUCUACCUCUCCCUCUCCUUCCAGAUCUGGGUUUCUCUUUCGUUUCUCCUUCUACAAUCAAUAAAAAAUAAAUACAAGAACAAAGGAGGAUGGAGAGAACCCAUGGAAUUUUUAGCCUCCAAAGGUGCUUCUACUCACGACAUAGUAACCAGGGACUCGAAAAGUUCCAGAUCUGAACCCAUAAAAAAAUUCCAGAUCUUAACCCACUGACAAAUGCAAGAAGUUGAAUGGAGGAGGAGGAGGAGGAUGGUGAAGUUGGGUUUCAGAUCUGGUGCUUGUGGUGGUGGUUGGUCCUCCUCUCUUCAGAUCUAGAGCUUGUGGCGGCGCGAGAGAGGAGCAGCGGAUCGGAACUCGUGAUCUGCCUCCUUCACCGUCACCAGCCACCGUCGCCGAACCCCCACCACAGAUCGACCCAUCUACCACCUUCGCCAAACUUCCAUGUCUCGUUGACAACCUCCUGCGUGACCAGGGAGAGAGAGGGGAGAUGGUGGUGCGUGAUUCCGGGUGAGGAAAGGAGAUGGCGUGGGUUCAGGGAAGAGGAGAUAGUGGUGGCGGCGUAGCCAUGGGAGAGGAGGAGGAGGAGGUGGCGGCUAUAGCAGAAGAGGAGAAACUCAAAGCCAUGUUUCUGGAUUUUUUGCAUUUGAAGUUUUCUGGAGUUGAAGUUGAAGUUGUGGAUUAAUUAAGAAUAAAUAUUUUUUUUGAAAUUAAUUAAAAAUAAAUCUUUAAUUAAGAAAAUAUGUUUUUUGAUUUUUUUUUUAAAACCUGCUAUAGUGGGUCAAAAGGCCAAUGUGCAACCAUACACAACUAUUAAAUUUUUCCUGGUAAUUAGUAAUUACAUACAGAGAGAAAGCGCUAGGCUGCUAGUUUUGUUGUUAAAUAUUUAAUAGUUUUGAAUUGAUAAAACCAAGGUGAGAUCAGAUCUCUUAGAUUUUUUCCUUCCUUCCUUCCUUCCUGCAGCUACGCUCUGCUUCGAUCUGCUGUUCACCAUGUCGAGUCAAGGGGCACAACAUGCCACUCACAACUCCUGGAGAACCAACUACUGCGAUGUAUUUGUCAGUUUUCGUGGCCUAGAUAGCCGCAGUUUCAUGAGGAAGCUCUGUAAGGCUUUGCUGGAGAAGAAAAUCAAUGUCUUCUGUGAUUGGGGACUGGAGAAAGGCAAAACUCUGCAUGAUCAGUUGUUUCAUGCGAUUCGAGAGUCACGAGUAUAUGUUGUUGUCCUCUCUGAGAACUAUGCAUCAUCCAGCUGGUGUCUUGAUGAACUUGCUAAGAUCAUGGAGGGUGUAGAGUCCACCAAUAAGGAUAAUCGCAAGCUCUGCCCGGUGUUUUACAAGGUACAACAGUCUGAUAUUGUGGAGAAGCUCUGCGAUGGCAAACAAAUGGCUGAACUUGCAAAAAGGUUUGAGAGACUGCAGAUAUGGAAAUCAGCGUUGACUCAAAUUGCUCAUCUACCCGGAUGGACUUGGAGUGAGAGGAAGGAAAGUAUGAUCAUCCAACACAUGGCAGAAUUGAUCCACGAAUCCUUGGUAGGGUUCGAUGUUUUUAUCAGUUUUAGAAACCCAGAUACGGGUUACAACUUUACAGGUAAUCUCUACAAUGCUUUGCGACAGAAGAAGAUCAACACUUGUUUCGUGGAUCAUGAGCUCUUGAAGAAGAUGCAUGGGGAGGACGAGCCCAAAUUUUCACCGUAUGUUAUUAAAGCAAUUAAUGAAUCAAGGAUUUCAAUAGUUGUUAUGUCCGAAAACUAUAUCUCUUCCACACUCUGCCUUGAAGAACUUGAUAACAUAAUUGAAUGCAUGAAGACUAAUAAGCAGUUGGUUUGGCCAAUAUUUUACAAAGUAGAUCCAUCACAUGUGAGGAAACAAACAGGCAAACAGCACAUGUUGGAGCUGCCCUAGCUGCUCAUGGAAACAACUCUGAAAAUGGCCCUAUGAAGAUGUUAAAAUGGAAAUCAUCUUUGACUGAAGUGGCUAACUUGACUGGAUGGCCUAUCGAAACUGGGUAUGUAUAUGUCAAGCAACCAAUUAUCUAAAAAACUUAAGCUAUUGAAUAAAUAUUUCAUGAAUGGUUUUAUAUAUAUUAUUUCUCUAACACGCUCACUCAAGCAAGAGUCAUUUCAUUUAAAAGUCAUGAAGUCUCAGCCUUUGCUGAGAGCCUAUGACCCAACUCUCAACUUGGAAUGGGCAUGCCAGCAUGGUGCAGCUACCGGGCCAACCCAGCAAAGCCAAAGCCAUGUCCCAACACCUUGGUGCCCCCCACUUGGGUCACAAGCUAGCGUUACCAGCUCGACAUUCGGCUCUUACCCAACAACUUAAGUUUUUGGAAUAAUUAAUUUUUUGACGGUAUAUAUGUGAUAAUAUAUAUAUAUAUACACACACACAAUUUUAAUAUUGAUAGAUUUGCGCUCCAUGAUCCACUUGUGCUUAAUUUCACAGGUAUCUACUACUUCUUAAUCUUCCACAACUGUAGCUAAAUAACCGCCAAUUACACAUCGACACGUGUCCUGCUUUUACUUACUUUUUUUUCCUUGAUCGAUAGGGCCAGAACGACGUCGUUCUCCAUUCAUCUCUGUUCUCAUGAACCCUAAGCUGGCAAUCACGUGUUUGCUCUCCCCUUCUACCCACUCCAUCGUACCAUUCAUCAUCUUCCGUUUCUCUUCCGCCUCCAUUCGUGCAUAACUUUUCUUUGAUUUGUCUCUUCUACGGCAGUACCAACGUCACAUAUAUCACGCGUUCCAGCCAAGAUCGACGUCACCCUGACCAGAAGAUCUGCUUUCCACGAUCUGCGGCUUCUUCUCAUGGCUUCUCCGGUGAUGGCUUUCACGUCAACCCUUCAACCAUUUCGUGGCUGGGACAGAAUUGCAGAGAAACUGAGUUUCAUGUUGGUCUUUGGAGAUUUAGUGUGGAUUGGUAUGACUCAAUGCAGGAAGAGAACUGUUCAAAAAAUGUGGAAGUCUGUGAUACAUGGCAAGUCCUUGCAGUCCUUGGCAGGUAUUGUUUUUCAAUGCAGACGCUUAAGGAUGAUUGAGGGGAGCUCAAAGUUGCAAAGCCCUCUCUAAGUCCUUCUCUCCCUUGAUUUCCUUCUAUAUGUAUAUAUGUUAUCCCAGAAGAUUUCUUAUAACUGGUGCAUGUAUUUAUGUAAACUCAUACUCACAACAUCUUUGGAAGAAAAUGAUUGUGAAUAUAACCUGAAGGAAACCAAUUCAAUGA